GACGAACGCUGGCGGCGUGCCUAAUACAUGCAAGUUGAGCGCUGAAGGUUGGUCCUUGUACCAACUGGAUGAGCAGCGAACGGGUGAGUAACGCGUGGGGAAUCUGCCUUUGAGCGGGGGACAACAUUUGGAAACGAAUGCUAAUACCGCAUAAAAACUUUAAACACAAGUUUUAAGUUUGAAAGAUGCAAUUGCAUCACUCAAAGAUGAUCCCGCGUUGUAUUAGCUAGUUGGUGAGGUAAAGGCUCACCAAGGCGAUGAUACAUAGCCGACCUGAGAGGGUGAUCGGCCACAUUGGGACUGGGACACGGCCCAAACGCCUACGGGAGGCAGCAGUAGGGAAUCUUCGGCAAUGGACGAAAGUCUGACCGAGCAACGCCGCGUGAGUGAAGAAGGUUUUCGGAUCGUAAAACUCUGUUGGUAGAGAAGAACGUUGGUGAGAGUGGAAAGCUCAUCAAGUGACGGUAACUACCCAGAAAGGGACGGCUAACUACGUG
rnacentral:rRNA from 1 species